rnacentral:rRNA from 1 species
CAGCAGCCGCGGUAAUACGGAGGGUGCAAGCGUUAAUCGGAAUUACUGGGCGUAAAGCGCACGCAGGCGGUCUGACAAGUCAGAUGUGAAAUCCCCGGGCUUAACCUGGGAACUGCAUUUGAAACUGUCAGGCUGGAGUCUUGUAGAGGGGGGUAGAAUUCCAGGUGUAGCGGUGAAAUGCGUAGAGAUCUGGAGGAAUACCGGUGGCGAAGGCGGCCCCCUGGACAAAGACUGACGCUCAGGUGCGAAAGCGUGGGGAGCAAACAGGAUUAGAUACCCGUGUAGUCCCUGUCUCUUAUAC